rnacentral:rRNA from 1 species
UUUCCCGGUGGGGACUUAGCAUAUCAAUAAGCGGAGGAAAAGAAACUAACAAGGAUUCCCCUAGUAACUGCGAGUGAAGCGGGAAAAGCUCAAAUUUAAAAUCUGGUGGUUUUUGGCCAUCCGAGUUGUAAUUUAGAGAAGCGUCUUCCGCGCUGGACCGUGCACAAGUCUCCUGGAAUGGAGCGUCAUAGAGGGUGAGAAUCCCGUCUUUGGCAUGGACACACCAGGGCUUUUGUGAUGCGCUCUCGAAGAGUCGAGUUGUUUGGGAAUGCAGCUCAAAAUGGGUGGUGAACUCCAUCUAAAGCUAAAUAUUGGCGAGAGACCGAUAGCGAACAAGUACCGUGAGGGAAAGAUGAAAAGCACUUUGGAAAGAGAGUGAAACAGUACGUGAAAUUGUUGAAAGGGAAACGCUUGAAGUCAGUCGCGUCGACCGAGACUCAGCCWWGCCUUGGCUUGGUGUACUUCUCGGCCAACGGGUCAGCAUCAAUUUUGCCCCUUGGAUAAUGGUGAGGGAAAUGUGACACCUUUAUGGUGUGUUAUAGUCUCUCGUCGCAUGCAAGGGUUGGGAUUGAGGAACUCAGCACGCACCUUUGGGUGUCGGGGUUUUUGCCCACGAUACGUGCUUAGGAUGUUGGCGUAAUGGCUUUAAACGACCCGUCUUGAAACACGGACCAAGGAGUCUAACAUGCCUGCGAGUGUUCGGGUGGAAAACUCGUGCGCGCAAUGAAAGUGAAAGUUGGGACCUCUGUCGUGGAGGGCACCGACGCCCGGACCAGACCUUCUGUGACGGAUCUGCGGUAAAGCAUGUAUGUUAGGACCCGAAAGAUGGUGAACUAUGCCUGAAUAGGGUGAAGCCAGAGGAAACUCUGGUGGAGGCUCGUAGCGAUUCUGACGUGCAAAUCGAUCGUCAAAUUUGGGUAUAGGGGCGAAAGACUAAUCGAACCAUCUAGUAGCUGGUUCCUGCCGAAUUCCCCUUCAGGAA